CUGGCUCUGAACAUUUUAAUUUUGCCUAUAAGCUAUUUGAUGAUUCAUUUUAGAAUUUAUGCCUCCAAAUAUGAAGCAUGUAUAUACAUUUUUCCUCCAUGAUAGUAAGGUUAUAAUCAACAGUGGCAGAGUAGCCACCAGAAAUCUGAGCUGGAAUUGGCUGGUGCUGUGACACUGCUCCAGGCUGUGACCUGGUCACAUCCCUGUAGUUAGCAGAAGGAGACUCCCUGGAAAAAGAAAUGUUGUUUUGUGUAGUUAACAAGGACAUUCUGCCUAUUCAGAAGUUGCUAAUUCUCCUCCAUCACAGAAAGGACUCUGGGUCUGGUUUCUGUGUGUGUCCUGCAAGAACUGGGACUUUUGUUGUAUCCUCCUCGGAGACACCAAUUUAGGUGUUGGAGUCACGAUUCUCAUGCAAGAUUAUUGAAGAUGUGAGUGAAGCAAUGGGGAGAACUUUAUCAUCUCUUGAGGCCCUUGACACUGAUUUAGAUGGUUUGUUCCUGCUUCCUCCCAAGCCUCGGCUCAAAAUAGCCCCGUGGCACAGCUUCUUCAGAAGAGGGGUAAGUGCCCCUGCCUGGUUCCUGAUUGCUCUGCUGUGUUUCCCAAAGGAACAUACUGAUGAAAUACAGUGCAUACAUCCCUCCAAGGGGUCUGGUGCAGCUCAAUCCCAUAUGGUGAUACCAGCUUCCAUUGCCCAAGAGAGAAGAGUCAUGUUCAUGUGGUAGCAUUGUAUGUGAAGAAACAAGCCCUGUACCUUUCCCAGAGUAAUGGGACCUUCUCCAUCUUCUAACACCAGGCAAUAUUCACAGUGACUUCUGGGAAGGGGUGCUUGUCUUGCUUUUACACAAUUUCAGGAAGAAGCAGAGUUUCAAAACUCUGUCAGUUUGGUUUAGAGAGGCUUCCUUCUCACCCAAGAGUCUUCACAGCUCCUGGCAGCUUUGGAAACAGGCACAAUCAGGAUUCAGACUCAGGCUUCUCACACUGGGCUAUGCAACAUCGCUUCCAGACCAAUGAGCCAUUUUGUAGGUGACUUCUAAACAUGCAAAUAAAAUUAAAUGGUUCCUUAGAAAACCCUUAGCCAGAAGAACGGCUCAGAGAGUUAUUGCAUAUUUUUUUUUCUUUUUGAUUGUACAGUUCUUGUUUGUUUGAAUGCUGCAUCAAAGCUGCAAGAAAAGGCCAUCAUGCCUUUGAUUGGAUUGGAAUUUUCUGCACCAGCAUUGGCCAAAGGCAGCCUGUCCUCUUGCAGUCUCCUGCUCGUGACGCAAUGGGGAAUGGGGAGGGGAAAAACCUGGCAGACAAGCAAACAGAUCAAACACGACACUUCAAAGAGAAGAAAAAAUGCAAGAAUGAAGCAAUCCAGCACUACAGUCCCUCAAUGCUAUGAAACAAAGCAGACAACCCUCUACACAUGGCCACUUCUGCCACCCAGAGACUGAGGCUGUAUACAUGAGAUCUUACCAAAAGCACUAGGGAGUGGUCUCUAGUGACUACAUGACCAGUUAUUGCACUAUUCGUGCUCAGACACUCUGAGGGGCUAAUUAGUGUUUUUAAUAUGUAAAUCAGAGCCUGAACAGAUUAAAUCUAGGGAAAAAAAAUAACCCAGCUGGUGAAUAUGUUGUUUUAAUUAUUGCUCUAAAGAAAAUAUGGACAUGGCUGAAGAUGAUGACAGAGAAGGACUUCUAAUACUGCCUUAUAUAAGUUUUCCCUGUUAAUAAAAAAACUAGUAGGAGAAGCCUGGUGUUGAGCUGGAGCAGAGAAGGAGCAGCAGCCACACAUGUAGGGCCAGCAGAGCCCUGCUGGCUACACCCUCCAUCCCAAACUUGGAUCCUUCAGUUCAACCAAUGGAGUUUUCAAAAUAAUCUUAGUAUUGUUGCUAAGCAUACAUAUGCCCAAAGGCUCAGUCAGGGUUUCCUCUUGUUGGGUGUUGUUGAAAUGUGGAAAAAGAGCUAUUCCCUGCCCCACAGAGAGGUUCUGGGGGGAGUGGAGGGUGGUAGGGGGAAUAAUACCACACGUUACACUGUAGAGAUGAAGGCCUGGAAUCUCUUCAUCUCCAGAUACUCUUGAGUAUUUUGUGCUACAAGGGGACAGGGCUUGAAAAAGAAUAUGUAUUGCAUUUUCUCAGGCUGGGUUUGGCUGAAAGAAGAGGAGAGAAGGAGAAUUUAGCAAGGAUGGAUAGGAAAGUGAAAUUAAGAAAAACUGAAAGAGAGAAGGGUCAAAUUGGAUGAUUACUUGUGUUUGAGAUAAAAAGCUGCAAGCAGGAAAGAGGCUACUAAUUUUUGUUGAGCUGUGUCCACUGAUUCUGGAAUGAAAUGCACAGCAAGCGUAGACUGCAAUCCUCUCUGCCAAGCAUGCGUUGAAAGGAGGAAGUUUGCUUUCCAAGAAAAACUUUUCAGAAAGGAGGGCAUCUGUAUGCCUCAAAGGCCUCUUGCGAUAUUCAAGUCAGAGCUGCCUUCCAACCCGCCUGAAGGAAUUCAGAACAACUUUCCUCUGUGUCAGUUGCUGAGGCUCUUUUGCAGCCUCUAGUGAAGUGAACAUUUUUCUAUGGAUCAAGUUUUAGCUUCUGUCAGUAUUGAAACUCUGAACUUUUUUCCAUAGAGCAAGGGAAUAGCAGGUGAAGUCUACUUCAAAGUUGUGACAGCAUGCACUUCAAACGUCUUUUGACAUCAAGCUGGUGAAACUCAUGACCUACAAUAAUAUGAAUCCUGGGGUGGACAGAGAUGGAUUCCUGCUAUGUUUCUGCAUAGCAAGGUUCAGGUAUUAACAGCUGCUCUCUCCCGCAGAGAGUGUCAUGCCCUGCUCUGCUGGUUAAAGAACAUUUCGCUGCCUCUGCUAUUUGCUCCUUUCAGCAGCUAUUGUGGACUGAACUCAAAGCUCCUUUCACAGAGAAGUUGUGAUGCCAGAGUACAUGGUCCCCAGGGUGGUGUGGAGGAGCAGCCCUGGGAAACCUGGAGCAGCAGUUUCUUUCUUAUGGCCUGAGUUUGGCUAACAUGCUCUUAUUCCAAUAACGGUUCUGUUUGAUGCAUCCAGCACAAUGCAGAAAAAUCCUGGACUUCACUCAUUUUUGCUUCUGUUAUUGGAAAAAUUGAUGCCAUCACAGCCAGUAUUUUCUGCCUUCCCAACCCCUUUACCCAGGCCUUCCACACCAAGUAAUUCUGACACAGGUCUGACAUAUAUCAAAAAGACCUUGCUUGCUAAGCCCAUUGGGAAAUCUCCUGCCUAUUCACAUGGAAAUAUAUCCAGAAGUCCUUCUAGGAUAUUUCCUUGGGCUAGCUGCUCAAAGAGGCCAGAGCCAAUGAAGAUAUCUCCAAGAAUGACGCUACUAAAAGUGGGAUGACAGAGAAUGGAGCUCUCUUGCAACAUGGAAGCCCUGCUGAGAUCUGUAGGGGAUGCUUAGGUUCGCUGCAGAGAAUUGGACUGUGGGUUUUCCUAGACUACAGGAGUCAGAUGGAUGUCUGGCUUCAGAGAACAGGACAAUCUCCCUUCCUCGUCUCUCUCUGUGCCUUCUGCUAAGGUCAGACCAACAUUGCACUCUGUUGGAGCAAGAACCGCAAGAGGCAGAGAAGAGUAAGACAGGAUCUGGAGGGGGCAAACCCAGGUGCUCUCCCAUCAUUUCCCUCCUACUGCAAGAAGCUUUGCUAUAAAACGAGCACAACUAACAGCGCCCAGGGCUGCUAUACAAAGGAAAAGCUGGGGGAAAUUGCUACAAGCUCUCAUGUCUGCGGCUACUUUAUUAUGCCACUUGACACAGCUUGAAGGAGAACUAGAGAUUUCACAAAAGGCAACAUUAAAAAUAACUUCUUUUUUUUUUUUUUUGUCAAUUAAAUCUAAGUGUUUUAAAAACCUCA